rnacentral:lncRNA from 1 species
AUUUUUUGUCAAACUUUGUUUGACCUUGUUGAACUUAGGAUAAUUCACUUGGACUUUUCAAAGUUGAUUUGAAGUGAAUUUGAAGUUUGACCUUUCUUUAUUAUUUUAAUUCAAGUAUUAUUUUUACUUUUGAAAAAUACCAAAAAUAUUUUAUGUGUUUCUUGACUUCUAAUCUUCAUCUUGCUUCUGUUUAUUAUGGUUUGACCUUGAUUUCAUGUAUCUUUGGUCAAUGCUUGUUGAUUAUCUCAUUUCAUUCCCAU